UCUGGAGACAAUAGCAUUGUGGUCCCACCUGAAUCCAUUCCGAACUCAGUAGUGAAACGCAAUUGCGCCGAUGGUAGUGUGGGGUUUCCCCAUGUGAGAGUAGGUCAUUUCCAGAC
rnacentral:rRNA from 1 species